AGCAGCCGCGGUAAUUCCAGCUCCAAUAGCGUAUAUUAAAGUUGUUGCAGUUAAAAAGCUCGUAGUUGAAUUUCGGGAUCAGUACGCCGGUCGUGCCUUCGGUGUGCACUGGUGUCACUGGUUUCUCCCUUCUGAAGAACCAUCAUGCCAUUCAGUUGGUGUGGCGGGGAAUCAGGACUGUUACUUUGAAAAAAUUAGAGUGUUUAAAGCAGGCUCGCGCUUGAAUACAUUAGCAUGGAAUAAUGGAAUAGGACGUUUGACCCUAUUUUGUUGGUUUCUAGGAUCGACGUAAUGAUUAAUAGGGAUAGUUGGGGGCAUUAGUAUUCAAUUGUCAGAGGUGAAAUUCUUGGAUUUAUUGAAGACUAACUACUGCGAAAGCAUUUGCCAAGGAUGUUUUCAUUAAUCAAGAACGAAAGUUAGGGGAUCGAAGACGAUCAGAUACCGUCGUAGUCUUAACCAUAAACUAUGCCGACUAGGGAUCGGAUGAUGUUAAUUUUUUAAUGACUCA
rnacentral:rRNA from 1 species